ensembl:snRNA U6 U6 spliceosomal RNA
UUUUAUUAUAAUACAAAAAAAAUAAAUUUGGAACCAUGAAGAAGAUUAGCAUGGCCUCUGCACAAGCAUGACUUCACAAAAGUAAAGGCUUUCCUAUAUUUA